UCCUAGCGAAAUCACGAUAUGCAUUUUCGCCACUGACGGUGACGCAACUAAAUAAUAUUAUUAUGAAAGUUACGGGCUCUGAAUAUUAUAAAUAUAAUUUUCCCUCUGUUUCUGAGAACGGUUUUAGAGUUGGCAACCCCGGACCGCGACGCGCCGCGAGCGACUGAAGGACUUGUAUCCAUGGUCUGGAAAUAAAUUAAAAAAAAAACGGCGGACGCCAAUGCCGCCAUCUUCUAUCGUGUCGUGCGUGCUGUGCUGCUGUGUGAACUUGAAAUAAAUCCGCUAGCUGAAGCUAGCUGACCGGAUCGGAAAAAUGGUUCAGGGUUCUUUUUGUUGCCCCAUGCCCCAUCAUCUGCCGCCAUCCUGGACAAGUCGGCGAUCAAUAACAGGACCCGGCCUGCGAGCAAUGGCCAAUGAAGUCUAUCCCAGUGCCACGUCAUCAAGUCAUCACGCAGUCGUCGGGUGCAAAUGACGCGGCGGAUCUUUCUCAAGCUUAGAAAGAUGGUUGUGGCCCAGAGCCCCGCUACUUCGUGCCAGGCCAUUCUCCAACUGCAGAUCCAUGUGUCAUCGCGACAGUGCACUCACUCACCUUGUUUGGCCCGAUGGAAUUUGGUAUGUCACCUGAGGCGAGGAGUAGGUGCGUGUGCGAACGGCCUUAGUGACGCCUCUACAGCGCGACGGGUGUAUUCUCCUCAAAUAUGAGAAGGAGCUCGGGUCCUGCGGGCUCUUAACCGUCGUAGUAUUCACGCAGUGUUUUAAAAUAGUGUUUGUGUGUAUUAUGAUAACAUAUGUUCAAUUCAAAUGUCUAACACUACAUAAGUAUACAUAUCAUUUUUCAUUAGUAUGGUGCUGUUUUUGCGGUCUGAAGAAAAAACUUCAAAUAAAAUAAUUAUGUUGUCUGUA
rnacentral:lncRNA from 1 species